rnacentral:lncRNA from 1 species
AUGGGAAAGACUAGAGAUCUCUUCAAGAAAAUUAGAGAUUGCAAGGGAACAUUUCAUGCAAAGAUGGGCUCAAUGAAGGGCAGAAAUGGUAUGGACCCAACAGAAGCAGAAGAUAUUAAGAAGAGGUGGCAAGAAUACACAGAAGAACUGUACAAAAAAGAUCUUCAAGAGCAAGAUAAUCAUGAUGGUAUGAUCACUCACCUAGAGCCAGACAUCCUGGAAUGUGAAGUCAAGUGGGCCUUAGAAAGCAUCACUAUGAACAAAGCUAGUGGAGGUGAUGGAAUCCCAGUUCAGCUAUUUCAAAUCCUGAAAGAUGAUGCUGUGAAAGUGCUGCACUCAAUAUGCCAGCAAGUUUGGAAAACUCAGCAGUGGCUACAGGACUGGAAACGGUCAGUUUUCAUUCCAAUUCCAAAGAAAGGCAAUGCCAAAGAAUGCUCAAACUACUACACAAUUGCACUCAUCUCACAUGCUAGUAAAGUAAUGCUCAAAAUUCUCCAAGCCAGGCUUCAGCAAUACGUGAACCAUGAACUCCCUGAUGUUCAAGCUGGCUUUCGAAAAGGCAGAGGAACCAGAGAUCAAAUUGCCAACAUCUGCUGGAUCAUGGAGAAAGGAAGAGAGUUCCAGGAAAACAUUUAUUUCUGCUUUAUUAAAGCCUUUGACUGUGUGGAUCACAAUAAACUGUGGAAAAUUCUGAAAGAGAUGGGAAUACCAGAUCACCUGACCUGCCUCUUGAGAAACCUAUAUGUAGGUCAGGAAGCAACAGUCAGAACUGGACAUGGAACAACAGACUGGUUCCAAAUAGGAAAAGGAGUACGUCAAGGCUGUAUAUUGUCACCGUGCUUAUUUAACUUCUAUGCAGAGUACAUCAUGAGAAACACUGGACUGGAAGAAGCACAAGCUGGAAUCAAGAUUGCCAGGAGAAAUAUCAGUAACCUCAGAUAUGCAGAUGAUACCACCCUUAUGGCAGAAAGUGAAGAGGAACUAAAAAGCCUCUUGAUGAAAGUGAAAGAGGAGAGUGAAAAAGUUGGCUUAAAGCUCAACAUUCAGAAAACGAAGAUCAUGGCAUCUGGUCCCAUCACUUCAUGGGAAAUAGAUGGGGAAACAGUGGAAACAGUGUCAGACUUUAUUUUUUUGUGCUCCAAAAUCACUGCAGAUGGUGAUUGCAGCCAUGAAAUUAAAAGACACUUACUCCUUGGAAGAAAAGUUAUGACCAACCUAGAUAGCAUAUUCAAAUGCAGAGACAUUACUUUGCUAACAGAGGUCCUGCUAGUCAAGGCUAUGGUUUUUCCAGUAGCCAUGUAUGGAUGUGUGAGUUGGACUGUGAAGAAGGCUGAGCGCCGAAGAAUUGAUGCAUUUGAACUGUGGUGUUGGAGAAGACUCUUGAGAGUCCCUUGGACUUCAAGGAGGUCCAAUCAGUCCAUUUCUAAAGAUCAGUCCUGGGUGUUCUUUGGAAGGACUGAUGCUGAAGCUGAAACUCCAGUACUUUGGCCACCUCACGUGAAGAGUUGA